AUUGAACGCUGGCGGCAGGCCUAACACAUGCAAGUCGAGCGGAUGAAGGGAGCUUGCUCCUGGAUUCAGCGGCGGACGGGUGAGUAAUUCCUAGGAAUCUGCCUGGUAGUGGGGGAUAACGUCCGGAAACGGGCGCUAAUACCGCAUACGUCCUGAGGGUGAAAGUGGGGGAUCUUCGGACCUCACGCUAUCAGAUGAGCCUAGGUCGGAUUAGCUAGUUGGUGGGGUAAAGGCCUACCAAGGCGACGAUCCGUAACUGGUCUGAGAGGAUGAUCAGUCACACUGGAACGGAGAAACGGUCCAGACUCCUACGGGAGGCAGCAGUGGGGAAUAUUGGACAAUGGGCGAAAGCCUGAUCCAGCCAUGCCGCGUGUGUGAAGAAGGUCUUCGGAUUGUAAAGCACUUUAAGUUGGGAGGAAGGGCAGUAAGUUAAUACCUCGCUGUUUUGACGUUACCAACAGAAUAAGCACCGGCUAACUUCGUG
rnacentral:rRNA from 1 species